rnacentral:rRNA from 1 species
AGCGGCAGCGACUUAACUGAACCUUCGGGGAACGUUAAGGGCGGCGAGCGGCGGACGGGUGAGUAAUGCCUGGGAAUAUGCCCUGAUGUGGGGGAUAACUAUUGGAAACGAUAGCUAAUACCGCAUAAUCUCUUCGGAGCAAAGAGGGGGACCUUCGGGCCUCUCGCGUCAGGAUUAGCCCAGGUGGGAUUAGCUUGUUGGUGAGGUAAUGGCUCACCAAGGCAACGAUCCCUAGCUGGUCUGAGAGGAUGAUCAGCCACACUGGAACUGAGACACGGUCCAGACUCCUACGGGAGGCAGCAGUGGGGAAUAUUGCACAAUGGGGGAAACCCUGAUGCAGCCAUGCCGCGUGUGUGAAGAAGGCCUUCGGGUUGUAAAGCACUUUCAGUAGGGAGGAAGGUAGUGUAGUUAACACCUGCAUUAUUUGACGUUACCUACAGAAGAAGCACCGGCUAACUCCGUGCCAGCAGCCGCGGUAAUACGGAGGGUGCGAGCGUUAAUCGGAAUUACUGGGCGUAAAGCGCAUGCAGGCGGCCUGUUAAGUCAGAUGUGAAAGCCCGGGGCUUAACCUCGGAAUUGCAUUUGAAACUGGCAGGCUAGAGUCUUGUAGAGGGGGGUAGAAUUUCAGGUGUAGCGGUGAAAUGCGUAGAGAUCUGAAGGAAUACCAGUGGCGAAGGCGGCCCCCUGGACAAAGACUGACGCUCAGAUGCGAAAGCGUGGGGAGCAAACAGGAUUAGA